rnacentral:rRNA from 1 species
UACGUAGGGGCCGAGCGUUGUUCGGAUUUACUGGGCGUAAAGGGCGCGUAGGCGGCGUGUUAAGUCAGGUGUGAAAUCUCCAAGCUUAACUUGGAACGGUCAGCUGAUACUGAUGUGCUAGAGUGCAGAAGGGGCAACCGGAAUUCUUGGUGUAGCGGUGAAAUGCGUAGAUAUCAAGAGGAACACCUGAGGUGAAGACGGGUUGCUGGGCUGACACUGACGCUGAGGCGCGAAAGCUAGGGUAGCAAACGGG